rnacentral:rRNA from 1 species
UACGUAGGUGACAAGCGUUGUCCGGAUUUACUGGGCGUAAAGAGCGCGCAGGCGGUCGUUCAAGUCGAGUGUGAAAGCCCCGGCUCAACUGGGGAGGGUCAUUCGAUACUGAUCGACUCGAAGGCAGGAGAGGGUAGUGGAAUUCCCAGUGUAGAGGUGAAAUUCGUAGAUAUUGGGAAGAACACCGGUGGCGAGGACGGCGA